rnacentral:rRNA from 1 species
AGUAACGCGUGGGUAACCUGCCCUAUACACAUGGAUAACAUACUGAAAAGUUUACUAAUACAUGAUAAUAUAUAUUUACGGCAUCGUAGAUAUAUCAAAGUGUUAGCGGUAUAGGAUGGACCCGCGUCUGAUUAGCUAGUUGGUGAGAUAACUGCCCACCAAGGCGACGAUCAGUAGCCGACCUGAGAGGGUGAUCGGCCACAUUGGAACUGAGACACGGUCCAAACUCCUACGGGAGGCAGCAGAA